rnacentral:lncRNA from 1 species
UUUUUUUCUUUGUAAAAUGAAAAUGACUUGGGCAAAAAAAUAACAAUUUCUACGAAAACAUAAAUUUUUGGUGGGAAUGUGAAAUUUCGUUAAGUGUUUUUCCCUCCAAAAUAACAUUUCAGCUACAAAACUGAUUUUUUUUUGUUUUAACUUAAUAAAAAUUUUCAUGGCGCGAAUUUAAGGCUACGAUUGAGUUGUGAUCCGAUUUUGGUAUUUUUUGUAGCAGUUCGUGAAUUCGUGCUAC